rnacentral:rRNA from 1 species
AACGAACGCUGGCGGCAUGCCUAACACAUGCAAGUCGAACGAGACCUUCGGGUCUAGUGGCGCACGGGUGCGUAACGCGUGGGAACCUGCCCUUAGGUUCGGAAUACCUCCCCGAAAGGGGUGCUAAUACCGGAUAAUGUCUUCGGACCAAAGAUUUAUCGCCCUUGGAGGGGCCCGCGUUGGAUUAGCUAGUUGGUAGGGUAAAAGCCUACCAAGGCGACGAUCCAUAGCUGGUCUGAGAGGAUGAUCAGCCACACUGGGACUGAGACACGGCCCAGACUCCUACGGGAAGCAGCAGUGGGGAAUAUUGGACAAUGGGCGAAAGCCUGAUCCAGCAAGGCCGCGUGAGUGAUGAAGGCCGUAGGGUAGUAAAGCUCUUUUACCCGGGAUGAUAAUGACAGUACCGGGAGAAUAAGCACCGGCUAACUCCGUG